rnacentral:rRNA from 1 species
UACGUAGGGUGCGAGCGUUAAUCGGAAUUACUGGGCGUAAAGCGUGCGCAGGCGGUUUUGUAAGCCAGAUGUGAAAUCCCCGGGCUUAACCUGGGAAUGGCAUUUGGGACUGCAAGGCUCGAGUGCGGCAGAGGAGACUGGAAUUCCUGGUGUAGCAGUGAAAUGCGUAGAUAUCAGGAGGAACACCGAUGGCGAAGGCAGGUCUCUAGGCUGACACUGACGCUCAUGCACGAAAGCGUGGGGAGCAAACAGG